rnacentral:lncRNA from 1 species
UGUGCUAUGUUUUUUCUAAUUAAUACCUCUUUUUUUCGUUUUUAUAAGAAUUUUUCGGUUGAUUGUUGUUUUCGUAACGUCCAGUUGAAAAUAUUUCACUCAUAUUCAGGACGAUCGUUAAUAUGAAGAGUCACCAAAUAUCAGUUUCAUCAUUCAUAUGCAACAUGAAACUUUGUAUCGAAUUCAUGCAAAUUUUGUCCUUUUUUUACUUUUUUUUAUUGACAAACUAGGUGUCAUGUUCUAGUGCAAUGUAAUUGAUCCAUCUGAACAGACGUACUGUAUAAUUAUAGCAGUCUCCACAGAAACUAAAUCGUAGAAGCUAUAUAUACAUGUAUAGAUAGUACGUUAUAUAGUACAGCAAAUUGGAAAUAGCUUGAUGCUUGAAAAAAAUUGAUAUAUUUUUAAUUUAC